rnacentral:lncRNA from 1 species
UCAGUGUUAGUAUAGCUAGCUAGCUGGCUGUGUCUUGUUGUACGAAAUAUUACACCCUCGAUCAGGUGUCAGGUUUGCUAGUGCGACACUGCACUAACAGUGAACACUCAGUUCUUGGACGUAACUGAACACUUGAUCUUAAAACUUUAAAAUUGAACACUUGAUGUCUGAUUAGCAUAUGGAUGAUACACAUGCAUGUCUCUACUCUACGUCAGAUGAUCUCCGGUGCCAAGAAGAAGGAACUCUUCUUUGGGCUGCCUUACCACCAGGGCGACCAGCCAGACCCAGGCGCAGGCACCGUAGAGAGCGUCCCGCACGGCCCAGUACACUUCUGGAGCGGCGACCCGAGCCAGCCGAACAACGAGGACAUGGGCAACUUCUACUCCGCCGCGCGCGAUCCACUCUUCUUCGCGCACCACGGCAACAUCGACCGCCUGUGGUCGGUCUGGAACGGCCUCCGCGCCGGCAACACCAACUUCACCGACCCCGACUGGCUGAACGCCAGCUUCCUCUUCUACGACGAGGAGGCCCGCCUCGUGCGCGUCCGCGUCCGCGACUGCCUGGACACCGCUGCCCUGGGCUACAGCUACCAGGAUGUUGCCCUGCCGUGGCUGAACGCCAGGCCGACCACGGAGACCGGUUCUCCGGUUCCCGCCGCGGGCGCGCUCCCGGCGACCCUGAACCAGACCGUGAGGGUGGCCGUGACGCGGCCCAGGACCUCGAGGACCCGCCAGGAGAAGGACGCGGAGGAGGAGGUGCUGGUCGUCGAGGGGAUCGAGGUCGCCGACCACUUCAGCAGGUUCGUCAAGUUCGACGUGUUCGUGAACGAGUGCCAGGGCGGGGGCGGCAUGGGGGCGGCGGUGGCGCAGUGCGCGGGGAGCGUGGCGAUGACGCCGCACCUGGUUCGGCCCGGGAAGGGUAGGGGCUCCGUGAAGACCGCGGCGAGGUUCGGCAUCUGCGACCUGCUCGACAACAUCGGCGCUGACGGGGACAAGACGAUCGUCGUGUCGCUCGUGCCGAGGUGCGCCGGAGACAUGGUUACUGUCGGUGGCGUCCGGAUCGAGUAUGUUAAGUGAGGUCCUUCUAUUACGUCCUACCCUCCUACGAGUACAUCUCACAAGUGCUAGGGCCUAGAGACAACUGCUCUACGACCAGGAGUAUAUAUCAGGUAUACAUGAAUAACUGUGUGAUGCUGUACGUGUAUGGACGACUCCUGUUGAACUAUAUAUGUAGGGAACUAUUUGGGAUUGUGUUUGCGUGCCGCCGUGAUUAUAUAAUAUGGGCCAAUGUCAAUGCGACAUCAAUAAUUAACAAAUAAGGGCAUUAGUGUCUGUAAUGUGUAACAGCAUGACCAUAGAGAACAGUGACUACCGUGUCGCCGGAGAAAAACUUGUAAUGCGAUCGGAGAAAGGGUGGACACCAAUGGCAGUAUGUGGGGUGUAAAGCGCCACUCAGAUUGCUCAGAAGAUGGCAGAACCGCAUGUCAAACCAGUGACCGAUGUAAUGGUGUAGAUAAAUCACGACAUACGGAACUCAUCCAUUAACCAAAUCAAGGAAAAGCUGUACACAAAUUACGACAUACAAUACUAUCCAUUAAUCAACUCAAGGAGAUGCUCUAGAGAAAUUACGACAUAUGAAAUUCAUCCAUUCUCCAAUAUACCCAUUCGAAAGUGGCCCACACGAUGUAUGUGUGUGUGCGCGCGCGCGUGAUUCCCGUGUACUCAUCCGGGGUGUUCAGUACUAUUCACCACCAAGGCCUCGGAAUAGUGUGUGUAUAUGAGAGAGAGAGAGAGAGAGAGAUGCAACAUGCAUAUUUAUUUUUUAGACAAAGAAAUUACAUGCAUGUUUAUUAAGUUGUUGUAGAAAUUAGUAAACGAAGAUGUGGUUUGAAAGGCAAGAAAUGAUGUUGAAUGGUCGUUAGAUUUUGACAUAAAGAGUAUUCACUCUAUUACAUGCAGGUCAUCUUUAUAGAGCCACACACACUGGAUGAUAAGCUUAGGGUCCUGUUGCAAAAGUAGAAUACUGAAUAAUUAAGAUGCUGUGGAAACGACAGUCAUGGAUAUCUUUACCGGCCAUGCAUGGAUGAAAGUCAUCCGAUAGAGAUUUAUCACUUACUAUUCCGUUUGAGCCUAUUCCACCCAAACUUUAAUAAUAAAUGAUUUUGGAGGAUACGUUCGAACUUUGAUAAUGUAUGGCUUAUUAAGUAAUUCCCCGUCCAUUUUUAUACAUCGUUCUCACUCCUCAAACGUGUACCUAACUUUUACUAAAUAUAUAUUAAAAUAUUAAUAUUUAUAAUACAUAAUUAGUACCACUAGAUAGAUCUUUAAUUUAUUUUUACAAAAAAUUUAUUUAAAAAUACAAAUAUUUGCUAAUAUUUUAUAUUAAUCUAGUUAAGAUUAAAAAAAGUUUAACUAACACUCAUCUCAUAUAUAGCGACACAGACUAAGGGAUAGAGGGAAUAUUCCGUAUACAUCCUAUUCAAAGGACGACAUAAGCCUGUUUAAAUAAGUCAAAAUAAACCAAUGUGUUUUUUUAAAGGAAAAUAUAGUUGCACGCACCAACUUCAACUUGUGUGAGCACAUCUACAGUACCUCUUGCAGCAACAGCUCUUGUUUUUUUUUUUUUUGAAGGAAACAGCUCUUGCUUUAGUAGAAGCGAAUUCCCUUUUUCCCUUCUUCGAUCUGAAAAGAGACUUAUCAUCUGUUCUCUGGUCCAGGCAAAUCGCACAUAUCAGAAAAAGUGGUUUUUGCCACUUACCAAGUCCGAUCGAUGUUUACAGUAGGACUUUCGUGUGCUGCUGCUAGUACGUAGGUUCUCCUUUUUUCGUCGGAAAUAAUUAGUUACUCAUACGGAAUAAUGUGAACCGUCAUCUGCUCAUCACCAUCGUGGUUAUAGCAGUAGGACUUUCGUGCGCGUGUGACAAAAACGAAGCUGACAAACGUUCUGCGUGUGUGUCAGAUCGAUGUGGUAUAUAGCUAAGGCUAUCAGGAUAUAUUUGGUGUGUGGUACGAGUUCGAUCGGGCGCAUAUAGCUUGUCUAUACCAGCAGCAUGGUACACGAUCAUCGGCCCCCAGCCCGUUUCGUUAAUUACAGCGCAAGUUUUGUUCGGUUUAAAGUAUGCAUGUGCCGUGCGUGCAUCGCAAAAUUACAGUCACACACGACAAAGCAUAUGUAUAGACGUAUAGCACGUACUCCACCUGGCAACGAACCAAUCCUCGACACUUACGACACAUGUACGUAGAGUAGCACGUAACAAAACAAGCUAGUAGACCACAUGGUACGGCACAUCCAGCCCUAGCUAGUCGAUCAAUCACAUGUCCACACGUUCUGUAUAUUGCUUCUCGCGCUAAACUAUGGCAUUGGGCAAAAAAAACUUUUACCGAAUAAGACUCUGCCGAGACCCUUUUACCGAGUGUAAAUAUAUAUGGCUUUACCGAAACACUUGGCAAAGCAACUGGCUGCCGUAACAGGCCGGCCGAUCACAUGUCAUGCAACUCACAGGUUCACACUUCGUUCACAGCAGGUUCAUCACUGAGCAGCAGCUAGCGCCAUGGAGAGCAUCAUGUACUCAUGCCACGAGGUUUCGCCGCUCGUCGCGCGCCAUGCAUACCAUACUGUACGUACGUAGCCUCCAGACGCUCAGGAUGCAACGCUCUACCGGCGGUGCCCGACCGCCGCGACGUGCUCCUCGGCCUCGGUGUGGAGCGGCAGCUAGCGGCCGGCCUCCUCGAUCAAUAACGUCUUGCUAAAUUUGCUACAUUUUGAGUUUUCUCGUCAAUAAAUUUGGCUAGCUGUUCUAACCUUUAAGCCGUGGCAUCUUAUGACUGCCAAGCAAAACAAGCGCUAAAGCUCUUGUAGCAGGUAGCUACAAUCGUUUUGGUUCGACAGCCUCCAAUCCCUUUUGCUACUUAUAUAUGUACACCCUGCACUGCAAAUGCAUAUAUGAUCUCUUCAUCUCAACCAUUAAGAUAGGAACCUCUCAUCUGUACAUUCUUCUUCUUCCUCCGGUACGAGCUAACCGCACGUACAGAUCAGGAAAAUUAAAGGUAGGGUUCACCCAUCUGUCCGUGAUUCUCGCAUCUAGAUAGUUUAUCUGCGCUCACAAAUUGUUGCGUGUGUGUAAUUAGAUUCGGUUGAUAGAUAAGCAUGUCACGAUCUCGUGUACUUGUAUUCCGGUGAACUUUGCGUCAAACUGCAGCACCCAGGCCCAUAUAUACGUACUACUCAACCAGCAUGUCACGACCGGCUCCCUUUCGUUACCAAGUUUCCUUCGGUUUAAAAGCAUACAUAUAUAUGCACCGUUCUUUCAUUACUUUCUCCAGCUCCUGGAGGAGAAGACACGACCCAUAGCAUCACUUGCGUAUAACAAACUGUCAAACAACCAAACAGGCACGCAUCAGCAGUGAGAUACUCAGGUCAUAUGUACCCAUGAUGCCGUCUCGCAAAAAAAAUGUACCGAUGAUGUCAUAAUACUACAUCUAGAUAUAUAUACUCCCUCUACUCUAACUUGUAAGUAUUUUUCUAGCUUUUUUAAAUAUAUAAUUUUUGUUAUGCGGACGAGCCAAUAGCUCGGUUGGUAAAGCAUCCCCAUUGUGCAAUGAUGUAGGUCAGGAGUUCGACUCCCCACCUCCAUAUACGCAGGUUUGCUAGUUGUAAAUAAAAUUUUUCGUUUGUCCCAUGUCAAAGCACAGGUCUAAGGUUAGCCCUAGUCUUACGUGUGUUGCGGUACCGCUACGUAUGGGUAGGGCAGAGGUUCAAGUUUUUCUUGACCUAUAUGAAAAAAGUCUUCUUCUUAAUCACAAUGUCUGACCUACACACAAAGAUCCUAAGCACAGUGCCCCCGGUGUUGACACUCAAAAGUGUCCCAACAUGAAAUAUGGGCAUAACCAACACGUUUCUGACAUCCCAGAGGUGUUGGAAAUAGUUGGUGAAGUAAUCAAACAAAAAAGGAAGAAAGUGGCGUCUGCCUUGGCAGAGCCGACUUGGCUGACUUUGCAUAGUCGAUAAAACUAGUUCUUCAUGCCCCAAUUCGCUUAGCCGACUCCUAAGUCGGCUAAGCCGACUUUCCUCUAUGUCGGCCAAGCCACAAUGCUCAAACCUCGUGAAAAUCGGCUCAGCCGACUCCCAAGUCGGCUAAAGCCGGCUUUCAUUGGUAUUCCGAGUCAGUUUGGUUUCCGAAACAGUUUUGGACCCAUUUUAAACAGGGAAUUUGGAGAAUGUGUUUUGGAAUUGUUUCCUAGUAAGAUAAAACCACGCCGUCUCUAUAUACGAAAGGAUCAUGGUCGAUUAAGGAUCCCAACUUACAAUCAUCAAAAUACAUCUAUUACAGGCCUUUUACCCUCUUUUCUCCCUAUUCGUCAGUUCGUCACGUCUCCUAGCGAGAUUUAAUGGCGUUCGAGGCACCCUUGCUAGUCUUAGGAAACCCUCCGUGUGCUCCUCCUCGACGGAUCUUCCCAAGAGAUGCUCAAAAUUCUAACAGGUGAAAAACAGGCUCGACAUUGGCCUAACCGAUCUCUAGAUUGGUGUCUCGGUUCGCUGCAUUCUUGCUGUGAUCAAGGUCAUGUGUUUACCGUAGAUAUGCUAACCGUAGCUGGUGUGCGAUCCGAAACACUAUCCAACAUCAUUGCACCAACACCCAGGGGCCGUCGUAAUCCCUGCAGGUCGAGCUUUUUUUUGAGGGGGAGGGGGAGAGGGGAUGGACUUAGAUAUAUAUAUAUAUAUAUAUAUAUAUAUAUAUAUAUAUAUAUAUAUAUAUAUAUAUAUAUAUAUAUAUAUAUAUAUAUAUAUAUAUAUAUAAGUUAAAACAAGUUAUAAUUAGAAGGAAGGGAUAUAAAAAACUAUUCAAUCAUCUGUUCUGGUCGUCAGAGCUAAUCGCACUUACCAGUCCAUGACUCGCCUGUCAAACGACGAUGUUUAUAGCUGCUGCUUUUUUCGUCGGGAUUAAUGAACUGAUAGCGAAUGUGAACUGUGUGAUCUCCAUCCUACGGGGGUUAGCAGUAGCACUUACGUGCGCGUGUGACAAACGAAGCUGACAGCAUUCUGCGUGUGAGAUGUGGUACAGAUAGAGAGUAUAUAACUCUAAGCAUGUCACGAUUUAGUGUGUUCGGUGAAUUUUGCGUCAAAUUAAACGACCCAUACUUAGCUAUCAACAUUCUGCGUGUGAGAUGUGAUACAUAGAGUUAGAUAGCUACAGUACGUAAUUUUCUCUUGGUCUACGAGGAACUAUAUAUAUAGACGUACGUAGCACGCAUAGUUUUUUGAAACGAUUUUUUGUUUUUUUGAAACACGAGUAGCACGCAUAGUUGGCAACGAACCAAACAUCGACACGACACAUGUAGCAGUAGCACGUAAUAAACAGCCAAAUGAAACAUCAGUCUAGUAGCCGAUCAUAGCUCACACGUUCUAUAUAUAGCCACUCGAUCGGUAAACCAUGGCACGGCACCGAUCGCAGCUCACAAAGUUCACACACUUCACAGCACGCUCACCACUGAGCAGCACCUAGCGCCAUGUUGAGCGCCACCAUGCCACGAGGUUUCGCCGCGCUUCGCGCGCCGCCAUGCUGCAGCCUCCAGACGACGCUGAGGUGCAAGGCUACCGGCGGCGCCGACCGCCGUGACGUGCUCCUCGGCCUCGGCGGCGCGGCAGCGGCCGGCCUCCUCACGUCGUCGUCCAGCCGCGGCGGUGCGAUCGCGGCGCCGAUCCAGGCGCCGGACCUCCGGGACUGCCACCCGCCCGACCUCCCCGACACGGUGGGCGACGUCAACUGCUGCCCGCCGGGCGCGGGGACGGCGAUCGUCGACUUCACGCUGCCGCCGGCGGUCGGGCUCCGCGUUCGCCCGGCCGCGCACCUGGUGGACGAGGAGUACCUGGCCAAGUACGAGAAGGCCGUGGCGCUGAUGAAGGAACUGCCGGACGACGACCCGCGCAGCUUCGCGCAGCAGUGGCGCGUGCACUGCGCCAACUGCGACGGCGCGUUCGACCAGGUCGGGUUCCCGGACCUGGAGAUCCAGAUACACAACUGCUGGCUCUUCUUCCCGUGGCACAGGUGACGACGACGGAUCCAUGCAUGCUGGCGUACGUGUAGGGUGUCACAUGUGAACUAAGGCUCGUGUAUGCUUUAGCGAUUAAUAAUUAAUUAACGUGCAACUUUUGUUCUGAAGUUCAACGUCUAUUGCACUGCUUAAUUAGUUCUCUUUCACAAAUUGGACAACGCGUGCAGGUUCUACCUGUACUUCCACGAAAGGAUUCUUGGGAAGCUCAUCGGCGACGACAAGUUUGCACUGCCGUUCUGGAACUGGGACGCGCCCGGCGGCAUGUCGAUGCCGGCGAUCUACGCCAACAAGACCUCCCCGCUGUACGACGAAAGGCGUGACCCUGCUCACCAGCCGCCAUUCACGCUGGACCUCGACUACGACGGGACCGAGCCAACCAUACCAAGACAUCAGCAGAUCGAUCAGAACCUAAUGAUUAUGUACCGUCAGGUCAGUGUUAGUAUAGUCUUGUUGUACGCAAUAUUACAACCUCAGUUCUUGGAAGACCGCACUAACAUUGAACACUCAGUUCUUCGACGUAAUUGAACACUUCAUCACUGAUUAGCAUACGGAUGGAUACACAUGUAUGUCUCUUAUAUACGCCAGAUGAUCUCCGGUGCCAAGAAGAAGGAGCUCUUCUUUGGGCUUCCUUACCACCAGGGCGACCAGCCAGACCCCGGCGCAGGCAGCGUCGAGCUCAUCCCGCACAACACAGUACACUUCUGGAGCGGCGAUCCGAGGCAGCCCAACGGAGAGGACAUGGGCAACUUCUACUCCGCCGCGCGCGAUCCGCUCUUCUUCGCGCACCACGGCAACAUCGACCGCCUGUGGUCGGUCUGGAACGGCCUCCGCGCCGGCAACACCAACUUCACCGACCCCGACUGGCUGAACGCCAGCUUCCUUUUCUACGACGAGGAGGCCCGCCUCGUGCGCGUCCGCGUCCGCGACUGCCUCGACACGGCCGCCCUGGGAUACACCUACCAGGACGUCGCCCUGCCGUGGCUGAACGCCAAGCCGACCACGGAGACCGGGUCUCCGGCGCCCGCCGCGGGCGCGCUCCCGGCGACCCUGAACCGGACCGUGAGGGUGGCCGUGACGCGGCCCAGGACCUCGAGGACCCGCCAGGAGAAGGACGCGGAGGAGGAGGUGCUGGUCGUCGAGGGGAUCGAGGUCGCCGACCACUUCAGCAGGUUCGUCAAGUUCGACUUGUUCGUGAA